rnacentral:rRNA from 1 species
UACGUAGGGGGCAAGCGUUGUCCGGAUUUAUUGGGCGUAAAGAGCGUGUAGGCGGCCAGGUAGGUCUGCUGUGAAAACUCGAGGCUUAACCUCGAGCUGUCGGCGGAAACCAUCUGGCUUGAAUCCGGGAGAGGGAUGCAGAAUUCCAGGUGUAGCGGUGAAAUGCGUAGAUAUCUGGAGGAAUACCGGUGGCGAAGGCGGCAUCCUGGACCGGCAUUGACGCUGAGUGAGCGAAAGCCAGGGGAGCAAACGGG